UACGGGGGGGGCAAGCGUUGUUCGGAAUUACUGGGCGUAAAGGGCUCGUAGGCGGCCAACUAAGUCAGACGUGAAAUCCCCAGGCUUAACCUGGGAACUGCGUCUGAUACUGGAUGGCUUGAAUUCGGGAGAGGGAUGCAGAAUUCCAGGUGUAGCGGUGAAAUGCGUAGAUAUCUGGAGGAAUACCGGUGGCGAAGGCGGCAUCCUGGACCGAGAUUGACGCUGAUGAGCGAAAGCUAGGGGAGCAAACAGG
rnacentral:rRNA from 1 species